CGAGCAGGCCUCUGCGUAAGCUUCGUAGUAAACUUAAACCAUGUUCUCUUACAAAUCUCCAGAGUCAGGCAGCACCAGCCACUGAAUGGAGCAAAUGCAAAAAAAGCUGAGGUCUUUAUCUUCCUCAAGCUUUACCGAGUCCACAGAGCUGCCUGUUGGAAGGUGUUCCAGUCUCGAAGACUUGUCCAAGAACAUGGACAGCGCUGCACUACCUGUGGGAGACGACUCCAGUGACUCCCUCUGAAUGCAAAACAAUUACUGCCGCUUUGAUUAUUUGGAGACUCAUUUCCUUACACUGAUAUGUAAAAGGCUGGCUAGGGUAUUUUCUUCUCUCUUCAAUUGGCUCUAAGCAUUGCAAAUAAGCCUAGCUGAGGUGCUAACAUGCAGUAUCUAUAGCAAACGGACAGUCUUGUUUCCUUGAAUAGUGUUCUCCACAAUACAGGAUUGUGGAGCAUGCCAGAUGUUAGAGCAAAUAGCUCCAAGAAUGUCAAUUGGGUAGGACCUCAAGACAGAGGCUAUGACUCCCCAGGGCCCGAGAGUUUGCAUAUCAGGAACUGAAGCUGAUAGCCCCCCAAAUCAAUUCAACUGCUAUCUUAAUUGGGUUAUGUAAAUUGAUCAUUCCACAUGUUUUUAUCUCUGCAAUUUACA
rnacentral:lncRNA from 1 species